CUGGGAAGUUCAAGAUCAAGUUAUCAGGAGAUUAAUUGUCUGGUGAGAACUCAUUCUUUGGGAAUGGCACCUUCUUUUUUUUUUUUUUUUGAGAUGGAGUCUCCCUUUGUCACCCAGGCUGGAGUGCAGUGGCACAAUCUCGGCUCACUGCAAGCUCUGCCUCCUGGGUUCAUGCCAUUCUCCUGCCUCAGCCUCCCGAGUAGCUGGGACUACAGGCACCCACCACCAUGCCCAGAUAAUUUUUUUUUUUUGUAUUUUUAGUAGAGAUGGGGUUUCACUGUGUUAGCCAGGAUGGUCUUGAUCUCCUGACAUCGUGAUCCGCCCGCCUCAGCCUCCCAGAGUGCUGGG
rnacentral:lncRNA from 10 species